rnacentral:rRNA from 1 species
UGAACAUGCCUGAUCCUGCCUGAUCUCAGAAGCUAAGCA